CGAGCCUGAUGCAGCCAUGCCGCGUGUGUGAAGAAGGCCUUCGGGUUGUAAAGCACUUUCAGCGGGGAGGAAGGCGAUGAGGUUAAUAACCGUGUUGAUUGACGUUACCCGCAGAAGAAGCACCGGCUAACUCCGUGCCAGCAGCCGCGGUAAUAA
rnacentral:rRNA from 1 species